UUGACCUCGGAUCAGGUAGGGAUACCCGCUGAACUUAAGCAUAUCAAUAAGCGGAGGAAAAGAAACCAACAGGGAUUGCCUUAGUAACUGCGAGUGAAGCGGCAAAAGCUCAAAUUUGAAAUCUGGUACCAUUCGGUGCCCGAGUUGUAAUUUGGAGAGGCAACUUCGGAGAGGGCGUUGGCCUAAGUUCCUUGGAACAGGACGUCACAGA
rnacentral:rRNA from 1 species